AGCUCCAAUAGCGUAUAUUAAAGUUGUUGCAGUUAAAAAGCUCGUAGUUGAACUUCAGAUCUGGCUGGAUGGUCAGCUUUUCAGCUUGUACUGUCUGGCUGGAUCUUACUUCUUGGUGAGCCGGUGUGUCCUUUAUUGGGUGCGCUGGUGAACCAGGACCUUUACCUUGAGAAAAUUAGAGUGCUCAAAGCAGGCCUAUGCCCGAAUACAUUAGCAUGGAAUAAUAAAAUAGGACGUGCGGUUCUAUUU
rnacentral:rRNA from 1 species